rnacentral:rRNA from 1 species
CUACGGGGGGCUCCAGUAGGGAAUCUUAGACAAUGGGGGAAACCCUGAUCUAGCCAUGCCGCGUGAGUGAUGAAGGCCUUAGGGUUGUAAAGCUCUUUCGCUGGGGAAGAUAAUGACGGUACCCAGUAAAGAAACCCCGGCUAACUCCGUGCCAGCAGCCGCGGUAAUACGGAGGGGGUUAGCGUUGUUCGGAAUUACUGGGCGUAAAGCGCGCGUAGGCGGGCUAUUAAGUCAGGGGUGAAAUCCCGGGGCUCAACCCCGGAACUGCCUUUGAUACUGGUAGUCUUGAGUUCGAGCGAGGUGAGUGGAAUUCCGAGUGUAGAGGUGAAAUUCGUAGAUAUUCGGAGGAACAUCAGUGGCGAAGGCGACUCACUGGCUCGAUACUGACGCUGAGGUGCGAAAGUGUGGGGAGCAAACAGGAUUAGAUACCCUGGUAGUC